UACGAAGGGGGCUAGCGUUGCCCGGAAUCACUGGGCGUAAAGGGUGCGUAGGCGGGUUUUUAAGUCAGAGGUGAAAUCCUGGAGCUCAACUCCAGAACUGCCUUUGAUACUGAAGAUCUUGAGUUCGGGAGAGGUGAGUGGAACUGCGAGUGUAGAGGUGAAAUUCGUAGAUAUUCGCAAGAACACCAGUGGCGAAGGCGGCUCACCGGCCCGAUACUGACGCUGAGGCACGAAAGCGUGGGGAGCAAACAGG
rnacentral:rRNA from 1 species